ACUCUUUUAGUUUAGAAAGAAUAUAAUUUUUUCAAAAUUAUGGAUUUAAAGAGAA
rnacentral:tRNA from 1 species